rnacentral:lncRNA from 1 species
CCGGCAGACUUAGGCCUUGGCGCCAGGCCGUUUAAGACCUGUCAAAGUCCUUCAUAUUUCCCUCAUGUCACAUGGACCUUUCGCUCCCUUCCCCGCGCCAUGCGAGGGCCGUAAUUUGGAUCUGUGAGCUGCCGGGCCUCCGCCUUCCCCUCCUCCCGGCUCCUCUGGGCUGAGGCGGCUCUGCGCCCCGGGGUGCUCCCCCCGACGGUGCGGGGCCGCCCCACGAACCGCCGCCGGCCGCCUCGGGAGGGGCUUUCGGAUUGAGCCAGAAAGGGGUUUUCUCGUGCUGGGAGCGAGCCGUCGGGGCCCGCUUCCCGGCAGAGAUGAGGGGUGUUGUACCCCCGGGCCCCGACGGGGUCGGCCAGCAGCUGCCGCUGCGCAACUUACCGAGGUGGGAAAGGGCCGGGACCGCUGCGGGGGGGUUCCUCAGCCCGGGGGGGCCGCCGAGGGCCGGGCUGAGCGGCUGUCUCUUACCGGACGUGGGGCACCCGACCCCUCCGCCUGCACAGCGCAGAGCAAUCCCGCAGGUGCGGGCCGGGAGCUCGUGGAACUAGCCCUUCGCCCUCGGAGGAGCGGCCCCGAAGCUGUCUGCCACGCUUCUUCCCCUGCACCUGGAGAGGAGACUAAGGGAAACACCCCCUCCCCGCGCUCAGGUGCCCGUCGAGGGGCAGUGGCGGCCCGUCAGGUGGGGCGGGGAGGGGCCCAGUGUUCGCCUCAUCCCGGGCCCUGUGGGAUGCGCCUCCAUGGAUAGCGAUGCCCGGCCCCAGCCCCGCCGCCUCCUCCCGCUGCGCGCCCCGUCCGUGCGGGGGGAACCCCCUUAGCUCCCUCCACCCUCAGCCUGUUUAGAUUUCUCUCCAGAUAGUUCCCGUAAUCCAGAUUUCUGGAAAAUAACCACACUCGGGCAGACGCAGCCACGAACGCCGCUGAAGUUUAUCCGGAGUUUGACCAACGCAUAAACACAUUUCCAGCCCGUUCGGCGGGGCGGGCGGUGGGUGACCCCUGCCCGGCACCGGGGCUGCACCGCGCUCCGCCCUCGUUACCUCCGCACCGCUUUGAUCCGGAGCCCUCCGAGCUCCGCCGCUUGAUUGAGUUUUUGCAAUUAAGGAGCGCGGGGGGAGCGGCCGAAACCCCGCGCACCCCAGGGCUGCGCACGUCGGGGCCCGGCGCCUCGCCCGCUCCGAGCCCGUUCCCUUAAAAGGCGACGGGAGCCCCGCGCAGCGCAGAAGGGGGGNNNNNNNNNNNNNNNNNNNNNNNNNNNNNNNNNNNNNNNNNNNNNNNNNNNNNNNNNNNNNNNNNNNNNNNNNNNNNNNNGCGGCGCGGGGCGGGGCGGGGGGAGGUGGGGAGGAUCAUGCAAAUCCCUCUGUUUAAAAAACUUCCAUUUGAGAAAGUGUGUCACAUCCCGGCGCGGGCGUGUAAUCCCCGGGCUAAUGGUAUUACCGCCGCCUCAUCGCCGUAAUGGGAUGGGGCCGGGGGCGAUCACCCCCCGGGCCCUCCGCCACGCGUGACCGCAGCCCCGCAGCGCCCGGCCUGUCGGGGCCCCGCGGCCCUCCCUCCCUCCCCCCCCUAGGCCUCGCGGUGUCUGUAGGUGAGCGGAGCCCAGGUUUUUGCCAGGGGUUCCUCGAGCAAAACCGACGCCGGGAGGGGAGAACGGGAGCUGCGCUUCGUGGUCGGUUCAUCUCUUAAAUAAAAGAGAUUAGCGAGCGCCGUUAUUUGAUAAA